rnacentral:rRNA from 2 species
AGUGGACGCAUCACUGGUGUUCGGGUUGUCAUGCCAAUGGCACUGCCCGGUAGCUAAAUGCGGAAGAGAUAAGUGCUGAAAGCAUCUAAGCACGAAACUUGCCCCGAGAUGAGUUCUCCCUGAGACUAUAAGUCUCCUGAAGGAACGUUAAAGACGAUGACGUUGAUAGGCCGGGUGUGUAAGCGCAGCGAUGCGUUGAGCUAACCGGUACUAAUGAACCGUGAGGCUUAACCUU